rnacentral:rRNA from 1 species
GAAAGCGACGUUCAACCGCAAAAGAAGCAGAGGGGGCUUAGUGGUGGGGUGACUGCGUACCUUUUGUAUAAUGGGUCAGCGACUUAUAUUCUGUAGCAAGGUUAACCGAAUAGGGGAGCCGGAGGGAAACCGAGUCUUAACCGGGCGUUAAGUUGCAGGGUAUAGACCCGAAACCCGGUGAUCUAGCCAUGGGCAGGUUGAAGGUUGGGUAACACUAACUGGAGGACCGAACCGACUAAUGUUGAAAAAUUAGCGGAUGACCUGUGGCUGGGGGUGAAAGGCCAAUCAAACCGGGAGAUAGCUGGUUCUCCCCGAAAGCUAUUUAGGUAGCGCCUCGUGAAUUCAUCUCCGGGGGUAGAGCACUGUUUCGGCUAGGGGGCCAUCCCGGCUUACCAACCCGAUGCAAACUGCGAAUACCGGAGAAUGUUAUCACGGGAGACACACGGCGGGUGCUAACGUCCGUCGUGAAGAGGGAAACAACCCAGACCGCCAGCUAAGGUCCCAAAGUCAUGGUUAAGUGGGAAACGAUGUGGGAAGGCCCAGACAGCCAGGAUGUUGGCUUAGAAGCAGCCAUCAUUUAAAGAAAGCGUAAUAGCUCACUGGUCGAGUCGGCCUGCGCGGAAGAUGUAACGGGGCUAAACCAU